GAUGAACGCUGGCGGCGUGCCUAAUACAUGCAAGUCGAGCGAACGGACGAGAAGCUUGCUUCUCUGAUGUUAGCGGCGGACGGGUGAGUAACACGUGGAUAACCUACCUAUAAGACUGGGAUAACUUCGGGAAACCGGAGCUAAUACCGGAUAAUAUUUUGAACCGCAUGGUUCAAAAGUGAAAGACGGUCUUGCUGUCACUUAUAGAUGGAUCCGCGCUGCAUUAGCUAGUUGGUAAGGUAACGGCUUACCAAGGCAACGAUGCAUAGCCGACCUGAGAGGGUGAUCGGCCACACUGGAACUGAGACACGGUCCAGACUCCUACGGGAGGCAGCAGUAGGGAAUCUUCCGCAAUGGGCGAAAGCCUGACGGAGCAACGCCGCGUGAGUGAUGAAGGUCUUCGGAUCGUAAAACUCUGUUAUUAGGGAAGAACAUAUGUGUAAGUAACUGUGCACAUCUUGACGGUACCUAAUCAGAAAGCCACGGCUAACUACGUGCCAGCAGCCGCGGUAAUACGUAGGUGGCAAGCGUUAUCCGGAAUUAUUGGGCGUAAAGCGCGCGUAGGCGGUUUUUUAAGUCUGAUGUGAAAGCCCACGGCUCAACCGUGGAGGGUCAUUGGAAACUGGAAAACUUGAGUGCAGAAGAGGAAAGUGGAAUUCCAUGUGUAGCGGUGAAAUGCGCAGAGAUAUGGAGGAACACCAGUGGCGAAGGCGACUUUCUGGUCUGUAACUGACGCUGAUGUGCGAAAGCGUGGGGAUCAAACAGGAUUAGAUACCCUGGUAGUCCACGCCGUAAACGAUGAGUGCUAAGUGUUAGGGGGUUUCCGCCCCUUAGUGCUGCAGCUAACGCAUUAAGCACUCCGCCUGGGGAGUACGACCGCAAGGUUGAAACUCAAAGGAAUUGACGGGGACCCGCACAAGCGGCGGAGCAUGUGGUUUAAUUCGAAGCAACGCGAAGAACCUUACCAAAUCUUGACAUCCUUUGACAACUCUAGAGAUAGAGCCUUCCCCUUCGGGGGACAAAGUGACAGGUGGUGCAUGGUUGUCGUCAGCUCGUGUCGUGAGAUGUUGGGUUAAGUCCCGCAACGAGCGCAACCCUUAAGCUUAGUUGCCAUCAUUAAGUUGGGCACUCUAAGUUGACUGCCGGUGACAAACCGGAGGAAGGUGGGGAUGACGUCAAAUCAUCAUGCCCCUUAUGAUUUGGGCUACACACGUGCUACAAUGGACAAUACAAAGGGCAGCGAAACCGCGAGGUCAAGCAAAUCCCAUAAAGUUGUUCUCAGUUCGGAUUGUAGUCUGCAACUCGACUACAUGAAGCUGGAAUCGCUAGUAAUCGUAGAUCAGCAUGCUACGGUGAAUACGUUCCCGGGUCU
rnacentral:rRNA from 1 species